UACAGAGGUCUCAAGCGUUUGUUCGGAUUCAUUGGGCGUAAAGGGUGCGUAGGCGGCGCGGUAAGUCGGGUGUGAAAUCUCGGAGCUUAACUCCGAAACUGCAUUCGAUACUGCCGUGCUUGAGGACUGGAGAGGAGACUGGAAUUUACGGUGUAGCGGUGAAAUGCGUAGAUAUCGUAAGGAAGACCAGUGGCGAAGGGCGGGGUCUCUGGACAGUUCCUGACGCUGAGGCACGAAGGCCAGGGGAGCAAACGGG
rnacentral:rRNA from 1 species